rnacentral:rRNA from 1 species
UACGUAGGGGCCGAGCGUUGUCCGGAGUUAUUGGGCGUAAAGGGCGCGUAGGCGGCUUGCUGUGUCACAGGUGAAAUCCCUCGGCUCAACUGAGGAACUGCCUUUGAAACUGUCUGGCUUGAGGCCGGGAGAGGGUAGCGGAAUUCCCAGUGUAGCGGUGAAAUGCGUAGAUACUGGGAGGAACACCGGUGGCGAAGGCGGCUACCUGGACCGGUUCUGACGCUGAUGCGCGAAAGCGUGGGUAGCAAACAGG